rnacentral:lncRNA from 1 species
CCCUGGAAGCCCUGCAGGCGCUCCUCGCCAACCCGGCCAUCAAGCGGGGGGAGAACAAGUGGGUCGACAAGAUCUUCGCCCUCAUGGACGCCGUCGACAACUACAUCCCCAUCCCGCAGCGGCAGACGGAGCUCCCCUUCCUGCUCGCCGUGGAGGACGUCUUCUCCAUCACCGGCCGCGGCACCGUCGCCACCGGCCGGGUGGAGAGGGGGAAGGUGAAGGUGGGCGACACCGUCGACCUCGUGGGCCUGCGGGAGACCCGCAACACCACCGUCACCGGCGUGGAGAUGUUCCAGAAGAUCCUCGACGAGGC